UUGGAUGUGGUGUACAGCGCACGCCCGCUUUGUCUUCAAAAUUUCCUGGAAUAAACGCGGGAAGCCUGGGCUCGAUUCCCAGCAUCCAAA